rfam:Otolemur garnettii contig163399, whole genome shotgun sequence.
CCACACAGCACUGUACCCAGAGUCUGUGCCCAGACAUUGCACCUGGCACUGUUAGUCUGGAAUUAAUGUGGUUU